AUUGAACGCUGGCGGCAGGCCUAACACAUGCAAGUCGAACGAGUGGCGGACGGGUGAGUAAUGUCUGGGAAACUGCCUGAUGGAGGGGGAUAACUACUGGAAACGGUAGCUAAUACCGCAUACCAUCAGAUGUGCCCAGAUGGGAUUAGCUAGUUGGUGGGGUAACGGCUCACCAAGGCGACGAUCCCUAGCUGGUCUGAGAGGAUGACCGGCCACACUGAAAUGAAGACACGGUCAAGACUCCUACGGGGGGCAGCAGUGGGAAAUAUUGCACAAUGGGCGCAGGCCUGAGGAAGCCAUGCCGGGUGUAUGAAGAAGGCCUUCGGGUUGUAAAGUACUUUCGGCGGGGAGACGUUACCCGCAGAGGAGGCACCGGCUAACUCCGUGCAAGCGGCCGCGGUAUAC
rnacentral:rRNA from 1 species